GAUGGGCUACCUCCUCCUCUCACCGUCGCCUUCCCCGCCGCUCGAUGGCGGCCCUUCUCCCUCGUUGGCCGCGGCGGUGGCGGGCGGUGCCUACGUGCUGGCGCGGCGGGUGGUGCUCCUCGGCGCCUCUGCCGUACUACUCGUCCGCCUCCGUGAAGCUGCUGCCGCGCCCACGCCCGUGGACCUUGUGAAGGAUGUCGGGCGAAUUGGUAUUGGUAUGCCAUGACAUCUGUUUCCAGGAAUUAGCAAUGUUGUAUGUUGCAAGGACUUCCUCAUGUGUGUUUUUCUACUGUAGUCGCCUCUUUUAAGCUGUAACUUGAUGAAGUAAACUAUUAUAAUUAUUUUAUUAAAGACGAUGUGGCAUGUGCCGUAUUUGGACCAUGUCAUCUUGUAACCUACUGCACAUGUAAAUGGGUAGACACUUAGUCUGUGUUUUCUCUCUGUUUGAUUAACAUUUUCAGAUUUUCAGUUAUAUUAACAAUUCUGAAUACAUACUUACAUCUUACUACUAUUGUUUUCUGAUAAUUUUAAAAAAUAUUGAAACUGAUGAAACAGACUAAGCUCAUUUUGCUGGCAAAAAAAAGACUAAGCUCAUUUUUGUGAUAUCCUGGAGCAUUCAACAUGACUACUGGACCAUUGCAUUGGGAUUUGCUGCGAAGGGCGAGGUAACAAAUGAUGAAAAUGACUUUGCACCUCAAAUUACGGUAAUUAUGUAAGGGAAAUAUUGCGAGCUGAAAUGCUCGCUGCUUUUAUGUAUGCUGAUCUAAAAACAGGUUCAGAACUAGUCAAAAUUUAGAUCAGGAUAAUUUCAUAUCUUAAAUGUCUCCACUACUUUUCUUUGCUCUGUCCUGAUGACAUCAUUUCUGCUGCAGACAACCAGAUAUGCUGCGCUUCUAUGCGUGCUGGUGUUUCAAUUUCCUUAACUUCAACUUUCAUUUGCCAUUCCUUUUGCUAGUUUUAUGCUUUAAAAAUGUUAAUCAACUGUUUGGUGCCAGCUGUUUGUUGCAACAUGCACUCCAACUCGAGAUACCAAGCAGGCUAUAUUGCUUCGGGCCACCACUCUUGUUGGACCUCGCUUGGAGAGGUGAUUGCAACAACUGAGCAUGAGGAGUCGACUACAGAAUCAGAAAUGGACUAUUCACUGAUUGAGCAGGCAAUUUCUUCCACUGCAACACCAACGGUACCAGCUGGUAGAUGUCCCAGAGACUGGGUUCUCAGUAGCGAGCCUGGAUGCAGCUGUGAGCCUGUGACGAAGCAGGAGCGCAGUUGACUCUGCAGGCUUGCUCGUACUACUUCGUUCAUGACAUGCAUG